AUAUUAGGUAUUCAAGAUACGAAUUAGAAGGAGAAAUACAUCUAGUUAUACGUCUCUUAACUUACUUGAAAGUUAGCUAAGAAGUCUUUUCAAUACUGGCCUGAUUAUUCUUGAUACUUAGCUCGUACAAUUGAGAAUAUUUUCGCUAAACUGGACGUGGGCGUCAAGUGACCAAUCACACGGAUUAAUUGCUUGGCGAUAAGCAAAGCUCACCAGACACAAACCAGCAGCUCGGGAGUCGGGAGUGUGGCCUCUAUGAACUGGCAAACGCGCGUGCUCAAAUAAAUCAUUUCUAAGACAUGGCAGGCAGCCGGAGGGAAGCAGACACUCGUUGGGCAAUCCAUGGCGAUCUCAUUUCAAGUGCAAAAGUGCCGCAAGUGGCAAAGAAACUACCAGGCUGAAAAGGUGACUGCCACAACAAUUGUGGGUGUAACAAAUUCGCCGUCCAAUCGCGACCAAAUCGUAAACGACCAGCGAACACACAAGACAGAACAAGACCCCAGACCCCAACUCUCGCGAUCCAACAGUCUCUCAGUCUUGGACCCAACGCGAAUUCAAACUUCCCAUUCCCAGCUCGUAUGUGGCAUGGGGGCAGCAGCAGGGACAGCGAUCGCUUCUCACCCUGUCCAGAAUAUUGGCAAAGUGAAAGCCGCUCUGUUCACUGCAAGGAUGAAACAAGAGAGUGUGAGAGAGGGAGGGGGAAUCGGACAGACAGUCAAGGAUUACAAUUUAGACACCGGAAAACAAUGAAAUUGACAGCGCAUAAGCUUUGGGCGAUCAUCUGCUCAACCAUUUAGUGGAUAUUUGUUGAGAAUUCUUUGCGGCGCUGUCUUUUUAUCAAUCUAAAAGUGGUAACACUCAACUGCCGCGUUCUUAGUUGUUAAGAAUAUUUACAUGCAUUAGGCAAGAUCAUAAAUAAGGAAAUGUGUACGCCGUAGAUGAAGAUAAAUAAGCAGUUGGUACGAAGCAAUACGUCAUAUAUAACACGCCACGGUGCCAAAAAAAAAAACACACAAAAAAAGUAAACAAUGAAAUACAAUAGAGGAGUGAGUUGAGGUAGCGGGAGAAUAAAAAUGGGAAUUGAAAAAUCCUUCACCUUCGUUAAUACAAAUGACGCCCCAUGAGACCAGGGAACAUCGCGGGAAGAGACUCAACUAAACAACAGACUGCACACGUACAAGCACACGCACUACAACAACAACAGCAACAACAACGACAGGAAAAGAAUGGAUAAGAAACCUCCCGGAUAUGUUCGAGCGGAAGCUGAGAAAGUAGCAAAGUCCACAAAAAAGUAUAUGGAGAAUAAGAAGAAGAAGUUGAGAAGCAACGAAAAAAAAUCAUUUACAUGUGACGGGGGGAGACAAUGCGUAGAGGGAUGAUUAUUAAAUGGGUGGCAUGUUUAACUAUAAAACGAGACGCCGAUGAGCUUGAGGAUGAAGAGGACAAGGGUGGGUGCCAAUGACGGACAGCUCGGGAUUUGCAUGUGCGCUCAGAGGGGAGCUGGAGUGGGGAGUACUGGAUUCCACACUGGAAUGAGCACAGACAGGGGGUCUCAACUUGUUCGACUGAAUGGACACGAAGGAGGCUGGGCUGACGAAGAACUUGGACAGACUAUUGGUGUGACAAGCAGCUGCUAUGGCUGUGAGUCGUAAGUGCGCCACUUGAAACCGCCUUAAAGUGUGUACAGUACAGAGUAGAGUACAGUGUCCUGGGUAGAGCAGGGAAGCAGAAGUAGAAGCCGAAGCAAAAGCAGUAACAGCAAAAGCAAAAGCAGAUUCAGCAGCCACUGAAUUAUGCAAAAGAUUUACGCGCUUGCCUUCAAGGGACCCAGCAACUUUUUUUGUGGGCGUUAGCGGCCUCAUCCGCCACCCCUCAGUUGCUCCCUUGGCCAUUUGCCGUUAGAGCGUAUAAACUUUGGAGCCGGACGCCAAACGCAUGUGACAGUCAUACACUCAGUUCGCAGAGUGGGAAUUUGCUUGGAGUGCCCACUGUGCGACAGUUGGCAUAGACUGUCGCUGGGCGGUUGUCAGAAACAAAACAACCAAAAUUUGUUUCACAAGCCAACAAAGCUCACAGGAUUACAUAGAAAUGUGCUCAGAAGGCCUAUGGCCAAGUGGUAGGACAAUUCUGAGAAUUUAUUCGAAGAAGCGCGGCAGUUAAUCAUUUCUUUGCGUUUUUCUGCGAAAGUGAGAGCAUGUCAAGAAAAAUAUUAUAUAAUAUUUUAAGUGAAAGCUCCAAAAAAAAACUACUUAAGUUUAUCCAAAGAUGAAAAAUCAUCAUCUGAAAGCAUAGGAUAUAAAAUUAAUUGUAAGUCUAUUUAUAUUG